rnacentral:rRNA from 1 species
ACGGUCGCGUAACACGUAAGCAACCUGCCCUGAAGUUGGGGAUAGCCCUCCGAAAGGAGGAUUAAUACCGGAUGUGGAUACUCUGUCGCAUGACUAAGUAUCUAAAGCAGCAAUGCGCUUCAGGAUGGGCUUGCGGCCUAUCAGCUAGUUGGUAAGGUAAUGGCUUACCAAGGCGACGACGGGUAGCUGGUCUGAGAGGAUGGUCAGCCGGACUGGGACUGAGAUACGGCCCAGACUCCUACGGGGGGCAGCAAUUAGGAAUCUUGCGCAAUGGGCGAAAGCCUGACGCAGCGACGUCGCGUGACCGAUGAAGUCUUUCGGGAUGUAAAGGUCUUUUCUGGGGGAAGAAGGAUGUGACGGUACCCCAGGAAUAAGCCCCGGCUAACUACGUGCCAGCAGCCGCGGUAAUACGUAGGGGGCGAGCGUUGUCCGAAUUCACUGGGCGUAAAGCGCGCGUAGGCGGACAUUUAAGUUGUGGGUGAAAUCCCGAGGCUCAACCUCGGAACUGCCUGCAAAACUGGGUGUCUUGAGGUAUGAAGAGGGAAGUGGAAUUCCAGGU